GACGAACGCUGGCGGCGUGCUUAACACAUGCAAGUCGAACGGGGAUGCUCCAGCGUGCUGGUGUGGAUCAGUAGCGAACGGGUGAGUAACACGUGAGCAACCUGCCGCAGAUUCUGGAAUACGCGCUGGAAACUGCGUCUAAUACUGGACACGAAACAGGCCCGCAGGGGCCAGGUUUGGAAAGUUCUUGGGUUUGGGAUGGGCUCGCGGCGUAUCAGCUUGUUGGUGAGGAAAUGGCUCGCCAAGGCGACGACGGGUAGCCGGCCUGAGAGGGGCAGCGGCCACACUGGGACUGAGACACGGCCCAGACUCCUACGGGAGGCAGCAGUGGGGAAUAUUGCACAAUGGGCGAAAGCCUGAUGCAGCGACGCCGCGUGAGGGAUGACGGCCUUCGGGUUGUAAACCUCUUUCAGCAGGGAAGAAGCGAAAGUGACGGUACCUGCAGAAGAAGCACCGGCUAACUACGUG
rnacentral:rRNA from 1 species